rnacentral:ncRNA from 1 species
UCUUAUCCAGAGAGGUGGAGGGACUGGCCCUUUGAAGCCUCGGCAACAGACCUGUUAAGGUACUGUGCUAAUUCCUGCAAGCAGUUUAAUGCUUGGAAGAUAAGA